rnacentral:miRNA from 2 species
CCCACCGAGGGAUGAAUGUCAC